CAGUUCACCUACACCCUUCAAUGGAUUCUUCUAGGUCCCAGUUUACCUAAACCCUUCAAUGGAUUCUUCUAGGUCCCAGUUUACCUAAACACUUCAAUGGAUUCUUCUAGGUCCCAGUUUACCUAAACCCUUCAAUGGAUUCUUCUAGGUCCCAGUUUACCUACACCCUUCAAUGGAUUCUACCAGGUCCCAGUUUACCUAAACCCUUCAAUGGAUUCUACCAGGUCCCAGUUCACCUAAACCCUUCAAUGGAUUCUUCUAGGUCCCAGUUUUCCUACACCCUUCAAUGGAUUCUUCUAGGUCCCAGUUCACCUAAACCCUUCAAUGGAUUCUUCUAGGUCCCAGUUUACCUAAACCCUUCAAUGGAUUCUUCUAGGUCCCAGUUUACCUACACCCUUCAAUGGAUUCUACCAGGUCCCAGUUUACCUAAACCCUUCAAUGGAUUCUACCAG
ensembl:lncRNA